AGGCAUUAAUGUGGGCAUGCAAUCCUUCAUUAAUCCAAAGUCAUGUACAAAACACUAGCUUGUUAGGAGAUGAAAAGUAUUCAGUGAAUGAACCAGAUUUCAGCCAAGACCAUUAAGGAAUUUUAUUCUUGAGAGAGUACAAAUGUUUUUGCACGUCUUUGCUCAAAGCUUUUAGGAUGAUUUAAGUUUCUUCGAAGCUUGCUUGGAAAAAAGUUUGGUGAUCAAAUUUCAGAUAUUGUUAGCAUCCAAGUGCUCUUGGGUUUGUAAACCAGAAAUGUCAAUCCAAACUGAAGCUUUUGAUAGUGAUAUCAGAGCCCUUGAUGCUGGUGAUCAAAUUCUCAAAUCAAGUUA